AAAGCAACGCACGGCAAUGGUAUGUGUAUGAAUCGUGUCAGGUCCUGACGGAAGCAGCACUAAGUAUGGCAACCAUGUGCCGUGCGGGUACAUAGGU
rfam:Dolosigranulum pigrum ATCC 51524 genomic scaffold supercont1.1, whole genome shotgun sequence.